GAUGAACGCUGGCGGCGUGCCUAAUACAUGCAAGUCGAGCGAACGGACGAGAAGCUUGCUUCUCUGAUGUUAGCGGCGGACGGGUGAGUAACACGUGGAUAACCUACCUAUAAGACUGGGAUAACUUCGGGAAACCGGAGCUAAUACCGGAUAAUAUUUUGAACCGCAUGGUUCAAAAGUGAAAGACGGUCUUGCUGUCACUUAUAGAUGGAUCCGCGCUGCAUUAGCUAGUUGGUAAGGUAACGGCUUACCAAGGCAACGAUGCAUAGCCGACCUGAGAGGGUGAUCGGCCAAACUGGAACUGAGACACGGUCCCGACUCCUACGGGAGGCAGCAGUAGGGAAUCUUCCGCAAUGGGCGAAAGCCUGAAGGAGCAACGCCGCGUGAGUGAUGAAGGUCUUCGGAUCGUAAAACUCUGUUAUUAGGGAAGAACAAAUGUGUAAGUAACUGUGCACAUCUUGACGGUACCUAAUCAGAAAGCCACGGCUAACUACGUG
rnacentral:rRNA from 1 species